rnacentral:misc_RNA from 1 species
GACAAGCUAAUCUAAUUCGGCCACCGUUCGCGUUUCUCGAUCUUUGGCGUUUCGUGUCUUACAUUAAUUACGAUUCGCAAAGCGUGAAUAGAUAAGCCUUUGGUUUGGAAUAUUUCAUGCGGUACACGGCUGCCAGCUUCGAUAUUUUUUAAUUAAAGCGAGGCAAAGUACGGAUUCGAGAAUAGUAUUUAAUUCUACCCCAACGAAGGGGUUAAUUAUUAUUAAACGAAAGCGGAGCGAGGAAUCGCGUCAAAGCGGCAAUCUCGGGUAAUAAGAAAAAGUAGAAAGAGAGAAACAAAAUGAAAAGUAACACCCCAUGGAGUAUGCUCGAUCGAACAAGGUCACGUUUAAACGUAGAAAAUUUCAAUGCAAUUUUCAAAAUUUUCUACAACAUAAUCCUCGUAUAUCAAUCCUGCAACUUCUUCGACCAAGUAACGUAUCGGAUUAAAACCAUAUUUUCGCCCGAGAGAGAAGUAGAUGGGCAAAAAACCUGGAAAAAGGUGCAUUCACCGUUCGAAUCUCAUUUCAGCCGAAUGGAACGGGGGAUCUAAUCGCGUGGCUCAAAAUCUAGCAAUGGUCAUCUCUGCGGUUCCGUCGUUCGAUAGAAAUUCGAUAUUGACUCGAGAACGAUCCGCCGUUCGACAAAUACAUAUCGAAAGCAACAAGAGGAGCACAGCAUGAUAGUAGACGGGACAUACGUAACGUCGGAGAAAAAGGAGAUAAAAUUACACGGGAGAAUCGAGGUUUCGUGAUGUCUAGGUACAACCGUGUUGUCGCUGUUCACGAGCAUCCUCCGGUACCGCGCUACCCUCAAACUACCCUCGCCAGAGUGUAUACUGUAUGUAUGUCGAGCAAGUUUAUGCAGCGCAGCUGACUAUGAUAUCGCAUCUUUCUGUACACGCACACGUGCACUACAGAGUUUACUAUGGGGCGUUUAUGCAUAUGGCGCCAUUAUCGUGUAUCUUGCACCCCUCCAUUCGAAGUCGUCUUUCUAAUAUACUUCCGCAUAAAUCUAAUUAUGCUCGUUAGUAAUGCGUAGACUAGAAUUAUGCGGUCUCUGUUUGCUUAACGUUCGUCUUCUUGUCGUUGCACGCGCCACUCGUAAAUUAGCCUAAUUAAAUGCGAUGUCUUACAUCGACUAUUAAAUUCGCGGCGACGUUCACGGCUAACGCGGAAAUAUACUGUCAAGUCGACGAAUAAACGAGGUGACAUUUGAUAACGGCAAGUAAUUCUCGUUAACUAUCUAAUUCUUAAUUUUAAUUAGAGAUCGUUUAUCUUACAACAAAAAAAAAGGAAAAAAGAAAAGAAGA